CUUGGUCAUUUAGAGGAAGUAAAAGUCGUAACAAGGUUUCCGUAGGUGAACCUGCGGAAGGAUCAUUACAAGUGAGGCUACCGAACGUUGGAAACAGCGGUUAGGAGCUUACACCCACCCGUGUUUACAUACUAUUGUUGCUUUGGCGGGCCGUGGCCUCCACUGCGGGCUCUGCUCGUGUGUGCCCGCCAGAGGACCAAACUCUGAAUGUUAGUGAUGUCUGAGUACUAUCUAAUAGUUAAAACUUUCAACAACGGAUCUCUUGGUUCUGGCAUCGAUGAAGAACGCAGCGAAAUGCGAUAAGUAAUGUGAAUUGCAGAAUUCAGUGAAUCAUCGAAUCUUUGAACCCACAUUGCGCCCUGUGGUAUUCCGCAGGGCAUGCCUGUUCGAGCGUCAUUUAACCACUCACGCCUAGCGUGGUAUUGGGGCACGCGGUCUCGCGGCCCUCAAAAUUAGUGGCGGCGCCGGUGGGCUCUAAGCGUAGUACAUACUCCCGCUAUAGAGUUCCCCCGGUGGCUCGCCAGAACCCCCAAUUUUUUACAGGUUGACCUCGGAUCAGGUAGGGAUACCCGCUGAACUUAAGCAUAUCAAUAAGCGGAGGAA
rnacentral:rRNA from 1 species